rnacentral:rRNA from 1 species
UGCCAGCCGCCGCGGUAACACGGGGGGCGCAGGCGUUAUUCGGAAUUAUUGGGCGUAAAGGGCGCGCGGGCGGUCUUGUCCGUCAGGUGUGAAAGCCCGGGGCUCAACCCCGGAACUGCACUCAAAACUGUGUUGCUAGAGAUCGGAAGAGGUAAGUGGAAUUCCCAGUGUAGAGGUGAAAUUCGUAGAUAUUAGGAAGAACACCAGUGGCGAAGGCGGCUCACUGGCCCGUUACUGACGCUGAGGUGCGAAAGCGUGGGGAGCAAACAGGAUUAGAUA